CACACACCUAAAGAGUAUGCGAUCACAUGGCAGACAACGAGGGAAACGGAAGGGCUGCCCCACUUGGCUAUCCACCCACUACUUGGAUCCAAUCCAAGUUGGCCAAGGUUAAGCUUUAGCCUGGUCUUGUUUGACCUCACCUAUCGUAAACCUAUAUUACGCUAUUUCUUUAGCCCAACUAGAGCUCAAUUAAUUCCCCAAAUAAGUCCUAUCCUUUUAAUCCAGUUUACAAAAUAUUUAUUGAGAAAAUAACUGCAAUCUUAUUCCAAUUAAUCUAGAGAUAGUUGGCGUGUGCUAGAUGCGUUACAAGAAUAGGUCAACUGAGGUUCCCGCUCACUAAUAAUAUGCCCAUGUGUGACUAGGAGACACUAUAGCACAGACCCUUUUGGGACCAAUUAUAGGCCGAUCAUGGUAUUUGUGAUUGGAUUUGACUAGAUUUAAUCCCUUAGUUUGGCAAGGAUGCCCGGGUUUAGAUGAGAGGAAUGGCAUGUGUUUGGCUUCACAUUACUUAUGUACUAGAAAGAUUUUGAAUACUUCUACAGGGUUAAGGAACCCAAAUAAUAACAAAUAGUAACUUCUGGCUAGUCAUUUUAAGUGAGGUCCUAGGUUGUUACAGCUUCAUUUAAUAGGUUCAGCAACACAAAAAUAUCUAAAGGCUAUUAACUGAAGGCUAAGCAAAUAUCAAGUUGGGUCUAUUAUUCAUCCUUUAUGAUUAAAAGCUAAUUUCUUCUUUACUUUUAUAACUAAUAUAUAUCAGCAUCUACAUCUUACAAAAUUCAACCUUACAAAUAGGUAAGCUAAUUUAAGUAAGCAUCUUGAUAAAAAAAGAUCGACCCUUGUAGUUCUAGUUACAACAACAUCUCCUUGUGCAAUCUCACUAAAUCGUCAUUCCAUGCAUCAAAUUAUCCCGGAUAUGAUUAAAUUAUUAACAUCUCAAAAAUCCCUCACUGUAUAUAACUUUUUAAGACCAAUUUAGCUCUCUAUUCUCAUCAAUCAGCGAUAACUUAUUCACAAAUAUAUGCACCAUAUGUCCCUCAAAUAUUAAAUCUAAUUCCUCUAAACACUAAUUAGCCAUAAAUAUCUUUCGUCUCGUCACAGUUAGUCUCUGCAUACAUGUCAUUAUUAUUAGACUAGUGCAUAUAUGCCUUCCUUUCUCGACUCCAUUCAAGUAUCCUAUCUUGGUAUUUUAUCAUAAUACUUUUCAACACUAGUAAAGGUCACGAGCAAGUUCCGUCCUCAUAUAAUUUUUUCAUGAAAUUGCCAAUGAAAAUCACUUCUCUUUUUGGUUCAAUGUCUAUAAUUUGUGCUAAGUGCAGUUCUCCAUAUCAAAUUGCCUUAUUCCCUUGUCUAGACCCUCACUCUCUCCCUGUCUUAAAUAAGAUCAUAAUGUUCUUGAGCAUCUACCAUAUAGGAUUAAACAUAUCUCACAUGUUCAACUUGUUGAAGUUGCCAUCAGAUUUUCAAUAACUGAACUAAGGCUUAAUCCCAAACUAAUUGGGGUUGCCUACAUGAAUUCUUUUCCUUCAUGCCGUUCAACUUAGGGCCAUACUUUCUGAAAGAUGUUAAGAUAUCAAUUCCUUCCAUACUACUUUGUCCCAUGUGAUUUUCAGUCUACCUCUACCCCUCUCUAUUCCUUCUACAUUUAUUAAUUCACUCCUUCAUACUAGUGCAUCCCUCAAUCUAUGUUGUGCAUGUCCAAACCAUCUAAAUUGUCAUUCCCUCAAUAUGUCCUCAAUUGGUAUUACCUCCACCUUCUGGCAAAUGACUGCCAUCAGAUUUUAAAUGAUAAGACAAAGUUUGCUGAUGG
rnacentral:lncRNA from 1 species